rnacentral:rRNA from 1 species
ACGGGUGAGUAACGCGUGGGAACGUGCCUUCCGGUUCGGAAUAACCCUGGGAAACUAGGGCUAAUACCGGAUACGCCCUUAUGGGGAAAGGUUUACUGCUGGAAGAUCGGCCCGCGUCUGAUUAGCUAGUUGGUGGGGUAACGGCCUACCAAGGCGACGAUCAGUAGCUGGUCUGAGAGGAUGAUCAGCCACACUGGGACUGAGACACGGCCCAGACUCCUACGGGAGGCAGCAGUGGGGAAUAUUGGACAAUGGGCGCAAGCCUGAUCCAGCCAUGCCGCGUGAGUGAUGAAGGCCUUAGGGUUGUAAAGCUCUUUUAUCCGGGACGAUAAUGACGGUACCGGAGGAAUAAGCCCCGGCUAACUUCGUGCCAGCAGCCGCGGUAAUACGAAGGGGGCUAGCGUUGCUCGGAAUCACUGGGCGUAAAGGGCGCGUAGGCGGCGUUUUAAGUCGGGGGUGAAAGCCUGUGGCUCAACCACAGAAUGGCCUUCGAUACUGGGACGCUUGAGUAUGGUAGAGGUUGGUGGAACUGCGAGUGUAGAGGUGAAAUUCGUAGA